CCUACGGGAGGCAGCAGUGGGGAAUCUUGCGCAAUGGGCGAAAGCCUGACGCAGCCAUGCCGCGUGAAUGAUGAAGGUCUUAGGAUUGUAAAAUUCUUUCACCGAGGACGAUAAUGACGGUGCUCGGAGAAGAAGCCCCGGCUAACUUCGUGCCAGCAGCCGCGGUAAUACGAAGGGGGCUAGCGUUGCUCGGAAUUACUGGGCGUAAAGGGAGCGUAGGCGGAUAGUUUAGUCAGAGGUGAAAGCCCAGGGCUCAACCUUGGAAUUGCCUUUGAUACUGGCUAUCUUGAGUACGGAAGAGGUAUGUGGAACUCCGAGUGUAGAGGUGAAAUUCGUAGAUAUUCGGAAGAACACCAGUGGCGAAGGCGACAUACUGGUCCGUUACUGACGCUGAGGCUCGAAAGCGUGGGGAGCAAACAGGAUUAGAUACCCGGGUAGUCCACGCUGUAAACGAUGAGUGCUAGUUGUCGGCAUGCAUGCAUGUCGGUGACGCAGCUACGCAUAGACACUCCGCCGUCGGGAGGUACGGUCGCGAGAAUUAAACUAACAAUAGUAAGUUAGUACGGCGUGAGACGUGACCGACGGACGACGACGAGGGAGGAGGG
rnacentral:rRNA from 1 species